rnacentral:lncRNA from 1 species
GGACAGAGGCACAGAUCCACACCUAAUCAAGAAGCUGUUUGCAAUUGAUAACUACUGGCAAAAGUAAGAUCGAUUUUCUCCAAUGCUGUCACUGGGUAUAUCUCCCCCCGCCGUGUGUGUGUGUGUGUGUGUGUGUGUGUGUGUGUAAUUUCUUUCUUUCUUGAGAGAGAAAGGGAGACAGAGAGACAGAGAGAGAAUAGAGUUGGAUGGUCAGGUAGGUGGGGAUAUCCUGGGUGAGGAAGAACACAUGAUCAAAAUAUAUAAAACAAUAUGAUAAAAAUGUAAAAACAAAAAAAUUGCCAGGGCCAAGAAGCGGGAGUGGGUGGGUAGGGGAGCAGGACAGAGGGAUGGUAUAGAUAACGUUUGGGAUAAAAUUUUGAAAUGUAUAUAAAGAAAAUAUCUAAUAAAAAAAUAAAUGGAAAAAAGAAAUGCAGACAAAUAAAAUGAUAAAUAAAAAUUAAAAAAAAAGAACUUCGUCAUGUUAAGGCUUAGAGAUAAUAAUGAAAGUUUAUCAGGAAAGAAAUGCUCUCUUACAUUUUCAUGGCAGAGUACCAACACACAUAUCGGGAUAGGAAACGCAGCAUACCACACCGAAUUAAACUGUUUACCCAUUGCCAAUACAUUUCCACUUCCCAAAUGUGAGAUAAAAUGCUUUGUAAAUUCCAUCAUAACACUUGGCAGGAGGGGACCUGGGAAUAGUCCACAGUUGCUGCAGUCAGAAGGUUUCAGAAGACAGAAGUAAUUCUUUCAUCAGGAGACUUCUUCACUCUGGGAGCUCUGGUUCUCAUUUGGAACUCAAUGUAAUCUGCCUCAUUUGGAAGUCGUUCCGACAUAGUGCAUCCAUCAGUGCAUCCAUCAGUGUUCAACUCGGAGCUUCUUUCCCAUCUUGCUGAUUUUGCCUACCUCCUUCCCAACUGCAUGCUAAUUUCCCUCACAUAUAUAGCUACUGAUAUAUAGAAUUCAGCAUGUACUCUCUGCAUGAAAAUCAUAGCACAGACAAUUAAUCGUUUCAAUGGUCAUAGCAAUAUAUGCAUUUAACUAUUCACAAGCUAAUAUAAAACAAAACUGCUGACUUCAUCAGAGGCCAAAUGCAUAGAUUCUAUACUGAAAGCAUAGUUACUUAGAUAGUAAGCCCUGAGUUUCAUUUAAUGAACCUUUUACAUUUAUUAUCAUUUUAUGUCUCAUUUACUCUGAGGCAUAGUAAUCAUAUUGCCAAAUGUAGACCAUAAUGAAGGAUGCUGAAUCUUGCUUAGUCAAAUUCUUAGCUCCUAUGAGGUUGCUGUGUGCACUACUCCUGGCAAUAACAAUCAAAAUUCAUUCCGCACUUCAUAAACUUGGAAAAGAUCAUUAACUUCUCAGACCAUAGGGUACAAACCCCUUCCUCCUAUUGAACUGAAAUCUUAAGAGUCUAGGAAUUUUAGUCCUUUGAAGUAUCUAUAAAUACCCAUUACACUGAAUCUUGUGGUGUUAUCUACAAGUAGAAUAUUAAUAUGGAUAAAAUAUUUGAUCAUGUUAUUCUUUAAAAGUGUACACCUGAAUUUCCAUACAACAUCUAAAAUCUCAGUUGUGUGCCUUAUAAAUUCUGGGUACCAGCAUUGCUCUCAAAUAUAUAUCUUAUAGUUUCCUGUUUCCUUAAAUACACCAUGUGGAAGCAAUCUCUACAUCUUUUAUUAGGUCUUUAAAUAUUAAAGUAUGCUUUUCUAACUAUUCCAUAUAGGACAUAUUCCAUUGUUAAUCUUGUUUUAAUAGUUACUGCAAGGAUAUUAGAUAUUCAGUGAAUAAGUUAAAUAUAUUGGUUGCUAUACAUAACGUGAUAUCCUUAGAGUACUUUUGACAGAAGAAGUUGUUCUUUAUUGCAAACCUACUGAACACGAGUCUAUGCUAGGUGUCCUCCUUGUUGUUGCAGGGUCUCUCAAUUGAAUAGUGGAUAUGAUUAUUCUCUUGUUACACUUACAGAAACUGAAGUUGAGAGGGUUAUGGUUUAUACACAAUCAGUGACAUGCCCAAUGUUUAAACUCAAGAUUUCCUGACCCAGUGUUAGCUUAUAGUCAUUCGUUGUCUGAAUAUUGAGGACUGUAUAGUCUAUAACAACCAUUCUAAAAACAUAGUUUAUAAUCAAAGUAAUUGAGACCCAGAAUGUGUAAUAACUCACACUUAAUAAAAUAAACUCAGGACUAGGCCUUGUUCUACUAAACGUUCUUUCUAGAAAAUGACAAAAUCCUCUGAAAUCAGAAUAUAAAUACAGUCGCAGAUGCUCAGGAGUGAAGAGCAAGUGGGAAUCAACUCAUGGCAGUAGUACAGACAUUCGACACCUGCCAGUGUAAUCCCAAUGAACUCUUCAGCAGGCUGCUUCAUCUUCCCUGACAAAGCCAUUAUUAUUCAAGUACAUCUAAGAGCCCUUGCCAUAAUUUGACCUUUCCACACUCUAAGCUCUGAUAUCAGGAAUCAUAGUUAAUAGUAUGUGCAACAAUGGGUUUUCAUUUUUCAUGUGACUUCUGAGUCUUCUACUCUGUGUCUGUUGGUAAACAAGGGCUCUUGCAUUUCCAUGAACUGUUGUAUCCUCUGGGCAUGUGUGCUUUUCACUACCCUAAGCAUUUUAUGUCCAUUAAUACGUUUAUUCUCUGCAGUGGUUUGGUGCUGAACCCUUAUAGGUAAAGAAACUAAAGUAAAUAGAAAUUGGGGUACUCAUAAGAGCACAUGGGCUCUGAAGUUACUGUGUUUUGAGUAUAGCCUGGUACUGGUUUAAGAUGGAAUGGGGCAGAGAAUGGGGCUACCUCCCUUUCACAGCUUGGACAAUGAACAAUUAAGAACGAAAGGGAGCUAGAGCUAAGAACAAAGGGAAACCUCAUAUAUUUAAGAGGAAAUUAGAGGACAGAUG